AGAGUUUGAUCAUGGCUCAGGACGAACGCUGGCGGCGUGCUUAAUACAUGCAAGUCGAACGGGGUCCAACCGGUGGCAACACCGGUGAAGACCUAGUGGCGAACGGGUGAGUAGCACGUGAGCAACCUGCCCCGAAGACUGGGAUAACACCGGGAAACCGGUGCUAAUACCGGAUGUCCCCAUCAGACCGCAUGAUCUGAUGAGGAAAGGAUUUCUGCUUCGGGAGGGGCUCGCGGCCUAUCAGCUUGAUGGUGAGGUAAUGGCUCACCAUGGCGACGACGGGUAGCUGGUCUGAGAGGACGAUCAGCCACACUGGGACUGAGACACGGCCCAGACUCCUACGGGAGGCAGCAGUAGGGAAUCUUGCGCAAUGGGCGAAAGCCUGACGCAGCAACGCCGCGUGAGGGACGAAGGCUUUCUGAGUUGUAAACCUCUUUCAGCAGGGACGAUUGUGACGGUACCUGCAGAAGAAGCACCGGCCAACUACGUGCCAGCAGCCGCGGUGAUACGUAGGGUGCGAGCGUUGUCCGGAUUUAUUGGGCGUAAAGAGCUCGUAGGCGGUUCGAUAAGUCGGGUGUGAAAUCUCCAGGCUCAACCUGGAGUCGCCACUCGAUACUGUCGUGACUAGAGUCCGGUAGGGGACCAUGGAAUUCCUGGUGUAGCGGUGAAAUGCGCAGAUAUCAGGAGGAACACCAGUAGCGAAGGCGGUGGUCUGGGCCGGCACUGACGCUGAGGAGCGAAAGCGUGGGGAGCGAACAGGAUUAGAUACCCCAGUAGUCC
rnacentral:rRNA from 1 species